AUUGAACGCUGGCGGCAGGCCUAACACAUGCAAGUCGAACGAGUGGCGGACGGGUGAGUAAUGUCUGGGAAACUGCCCGAUGGAGGGGGAUAACUACUGGAAACGGUAGCUAAUACCGCAUACCAUCGGAUGUGCCCAUAUGGGAUUAGCUAGUUGGUGGGGUAACGGCUCACCUAGGCGACGAUCCCUAGCUGGUCUGAGAGGAUGACCAGCCACACUGGAACUGAGACACGGUCCAGACUCCUACGGGAGGCAUCAGUGGGGAAUAUUGGACAAUUGGCGCAAGCCUGAUGCAGCCAUGCCGCGUGUAUGAAGAAGGCCUUAGGGUUGUAAAGUACUUUCAGCGGGGAGGCGUUACCCGCAGAAGAAGCACCGGCUAACUCCGUGCCAGCAGCCGCGGUAAUUC
rnacentral:rRNA from 1 species